CCGCCGCCUCCAUGUGCGAGCAGAGGAUGUGCUGCAGCUGCGUGUACUCCACCUCCGUCAUCUCCACCAGGCUCAGACCUAGAUCCAGACUGGAGUUCCAGCAGGCCCCAAAAGAGAAAGUGUGAGGUGUGGCCUACAAAUAUGUUUCCCUACGAAAACCUGCGGAAAAUGUGUGGAAAUCGAUGUUGAGAGUGCGGGAUCUGGGUGGGAGGAAUAUAAGCUUGCGUAGCUGACCCUAAAUUCAGUGAAAUCCAGAACUUUCCUGGCACACUGGAGAGGACGGCAGAACGCUGGGAUGGAUUUAUCGUGCAAGACCAGCUUGAUGUCCUUAGGGCUUGGAGGUCACCCCUUCACGAGGAUUCUGCCUCGGCCUCUGUGCUAGAACAGGGAGCUACAGCUCAGUGACCCUGUGGUGCCUUGUGGGCCUGUGGGUGCCAGGGCUCCGGGGCCUGGGCCUUUUCCUGCUUGGUGUGGCUGACCGGGACGCGGCCGACCCCAGGGGCAUACUGGAGCUAGGUCUUCCUCGCCAUGUUUCCACAGUGAGCCCUUUGGCUGCACAGGUCACGGUCUGGAGCUGUUGGAGGAGGCUGCUCAGAGCUGUUGCUGCCCCACCAGACACUUGGCCAAGGGGCCUGCACCGGUCUGCGCGGGAACGUCCCACCGGCGUCUGCUCAUGGCUGGGCUGUGGACCCAUACGCUUGUUCGGAAGCCAAGCUCUGGCCCACAGGCGACCAGAGGAAGCUCGCAGGCCAGGCGCCAGCUCCCCGAGCCUGUCCCUGCAGCCGCGCUGUGUGCAGGCACGUGGGCCACCGCGUCUCCUCCACUGGCACUGCUGGGUCUGGGCCGCCAAGCCCACCUGCCCACCUGCAUCCUCAGCAGCAGCACGCCCCGCAGUCGGCGGGUGCACACUCUGCUGCAGCCUGGAUGGGCUGGGGCCUCGGGGCUCACUCCCCAACCAUGAGACUCCUUCACCGCAGUUGAGGCUGUUGCAGUGGUCUCGGGCUCCCACUCAGCCCCAGGAGAGGGUCUGAAGGGGGUGAGUCCCUCCUCCCGACCUUCCUGCCCAUCGUCUCCAGAGCUGGAUGGUGCUGGGUCCCCACAGGGAGCGAGACAGCUGCCCCGUGACGGAAGGAUGUGGGGACCCGCACCCGGCCGGUCUCACCCUGGGCUCAGCAUGAGUUCAGGGAGGGGUCCAAAGGGCACUCCUGCCCACGCCCAGGCAAACCAGCAACAAGAAACUGGGUGGCCAGGGCGUCCGUGCACGACCCCAAACUUCUCCGCGUUAGAAAAAGGCUGAUGAAGACCCGAGACAGAAACUUCCUGUAGCUGUUUAUUCUACUGCGAGUAACAAAACCUAGGUCGUUCCAUGUUCUCAUGUACAGUGAUAUAAGCCUCCGCAAUAUAAAAUACAAUGUACAGGAAUCUCUAUCAAGUAAACUAAAGAAACACACUUGAUUUUUACAUUUGUGUAUUUAAAUUAGAAAAAUUUGCUUUAUAUGUUAAACAAACAAAACCUUCUCAUCGUACUAGAUGUUGGAACGUGACACCUACUUUAAUGUAAUUUAACCUAUGGACACUUGGCUUUCAACACCAAACAUCUCAAACUGAUACAUUCUCAAUGUUUUCUUAACUUAAAAAAUCUGUGCUAUAAAGUGAAAAAUCUGUAGUGACGUACAAUGGAAUAACAGACUCCAAAGAACAAGUGAAGUUCUUUAAUUUUACAUCUGUAAAAGUUUAUGAAAAUAUAAAAAAUUAUCAAAGUGUA
rnacentral:lncRNA from 1 species